GGGAAUGGCCAUGUGGCCAAAGCUGAUAAUAACCUAGCCAUUUGAUUGGCUAAAGGCAGAGGCUUGUGGUAAAACAGCAAUAUGCAAAUGAGCUACCAGCUCUAUAAGUGAAGCCGUCAUUUAAGGCAGCUGCAAAAAAGACCAAGAAACCUGCAAGCAAAGGAGUGCAUAGCGUCCUGGGGCAGAGGGUCACAGGUCCACCACCAGCAGGCAGAAGCGCAAGCAAAGGACACGUGGACUGCUGUGGACUUCUGUAAAUACUUCUGCAAUUCUGGACAGGAUAUCAUCAUAUACUGUAAGUUCGCUACAUAGACACUACAGUAUAGAUGAUGUACUAUCCAGGGUUGCACACAAGACAGAGGAAAGAAGAUCAUAAAUGCAAAGGAACAUCAUGCAAACUCCAGGGGGCAGCAGGGAAACCGUUACCAUUACUGAGCUUUAGUAAUGGUAAGGGUUACUUUGCUUCCUCCAGUAAACAGCGCACCUUCGGACAGCUUUAUUUAACUCUGUAAUUAUUUUUGUAACAUUUAUCAGUGGCUAGGAAUAAAACUAGCAAUUACUGUACAAGUUGUGCCUCUUGAGCUCUUAAAGAGAUACCUAUUUAUGGUUGCUUUGAUGCUAAUAUGACAUAACAAUAAAGGAAAGGCCUUUAAAUGUUGGAAAUAUGUGGCCAUUUAAUUAGUUUAAAGAUAGGCUGUUUACAAAACAUAACAUGGAUACCUACUUACCUUUCAGUGGAACUUUACUUAUAAAGUAAAAAUGUUGUAUAAGUACAAAGGAAUUACCACAAGAUAAAAGAGAACCAGCAUAAGACUGCAAAAUGGGCUAUUAAGUCAAAACCUCGUUUUUACUAUCUGACUUACUGUAUUUUUUAUUUAGGUAAGUUUUCUGCACUUAAACUGAACAUGCUGUAUGUAUAUUUGCCAUAUUUCUUCAGUUGAUCUUUGUAAAUGUAUUACACAUUUGUAAACACCAGU